rnacentral:lncRNA from 1 species
CUACAAGUAGCAGUCUGUGAUGGAAAUGGUGCUGGACUUGGUGAAGCAGGACCGGAGCUUCUCCUCGGCUCUGCUAUGAAGUAGCUGACUGUGGUUCGGGGGAGGGAUACUCUGGGCUAUGCUUCCUAGGUCCACAGCCUGAGGGCUGACAUAAGAUGACCUCUGAGGUUCUGCACAACCCUGAGACUUAGAGCUUUUCUGACUUGUUUUUCAAGCAUGAAGGCUGCUACAGACAUUCUUCCCUUUUUCUCUGUGACUGGAACACAGACUGGAUGGCAACGAUGGUAAAGAUGCAUGGAGAUCGGACACAUCCAUCAGAAUGCUGAAAACCAAAGACAUGGACAACAAGAUGUUCUGAAAGGAGGUUUGCCACGUUCACAUGCCUAAAGCUGCUUUCAGUGGCUCUCUGUUUGUUUCUGAAAACACUGGCUCCCCUUGCUAAACAAGUCCUGCAUAGGCAAGGAAGAGGUAGGCCCAAGAAGAUGGAUAUUAUGCAUGAGUAAAAGAGUUUGAUGUCGUUGAUGGUGACGUUUCGACUAUCAUCCUAUUCAAGAAACGAGAGGAAACCCUCUAUUAGCUCAUCUGAACUCCUUUGCAAGCCUUUGAAGAGGUAACUCUGGGGCCCAGGAAAAUCCUACAUGUGACUACUGUAAAGAAGACAAUAAAGUGCAACCUGCCCUCCAGAAGUCCAAAUCAUGCUCUUGGGUGUGUCUUACUCAUUCCAAGCAUCUUUCUAUUAACCUGUCUAUUUAAAUCUGUGUUUAAACUCUCCUUUUAAUAAUAAACUCCAACUCUUCUCAUC